rnacentral:rRNA from 1 species
GAUUAAGUUAUUAAGGGCGCACGGUGGAUGCCUUGGCACUAGAAGCCGAUGAAGGACGUUACUAACGACGAUAUGCUUUGGGGAGCUGUAAGUAAGCUUUGAUCCAGAGAUUUCCGAAUGGGGAAACCCAGCAUGAGUUAUGUCAUGUUAUCGAUAUGUGAAUACAUAGCAUAUCAGAAGGCACACCCGGAGAACUGAAACAUCUUAGUACCCGGAGGAAGAGAAAGAAAAUUCGAUUCCCUUAGUAGCGGCGAGCGAAACGGGAAGAGCCCAAACCAACAAGCUUGCUUGUUGGGGUUGUAGGACACUCUAUACGGAGUUACAAAGGACGACAUUAGACGAAUCAUCUGGAAAGAUGAAUCAAAGAAGGUAAUAAUCCUGUAGUCGAAAAUGUUGUCUCUCUUGAGUGGAUCCUGAGUACGACGGAGCACGUGAAAUUCCGUCGGAAUCUGGGAGGACCAUCUCCUAAGGCUAAAUACUCUCUAGUGACCGAUAGUGAACCAGUACCGUGAGGGAAAGGUGAAAAGCACCCCGGAAGGGGAGUGAAAUAGAACCUGAAACCGUGUGCUUACAAGUAGUCAGAGCCCGUUAAUGGGUGAUGGCGUGCCUUUUGUAGAAUGAACCGGCGAGUUACGAUUUGAUGCAAGGUUAAGCAGUAAAUGUGGAGCCGUAGCGAAAGCGAGUCUGAAUAGGGCGUUUAGUAUUUGGUCGUAGACCCGAAACCAGGUGAUCUACCCUUGGUCAGGUUGAAGUUCAGGUAACACUGAAUGGAGGACCGAACCGACUUACGUUGAAAAGUGAGCGGAUGAACUGAGGGUAGCGGAGAAAUUCCAAUCGAACCUGGAGAUAGCUGGUUCUCUCCGAAAUAGCUUUAGGGCUAGCCUCAAGUGAUGAUUAUUGGAGGUAGAGCACUGUUUGGACGAGGGGCCCCUCUCGGGUUACCGAAUUCAGACAAACUCCGAAUGCCAAUUAAUUUAACUUGGGAGUCAGAACAUGGGUGAUAAGGUCCGUGUUCGAAAGGGAAACAGCCCAGACCACCAGCUAAG